GAAGAAGCCAAUGACGAACGACAGUCAGAUAGAAAAAGGCAGACAAAUGCUAUUUUAACCACAGGAGCGAAAGUGUCAGUAUAAUCUAGCCCAAAUACCUAAGUAUACCCUUUGGUAACAAGGCGACCCUUAAGUCGAUCAACCUGACCGUCUGAGCCAAUUUUGACUGCAUAAACUCAACGACAACCAACCUUAGAUUUAUCUAUAGGAAGGGAGACAAGCUCCCAAGUACCACUUUUAUGCAAAGCAGACAUCUCAUCUACCAUAGCCUGUCUCCAUGCAGAAUGAGAAAGUGUCUCACUUGUAGUUUUAG
rnacentral:misc_RNA from 1 species